rnacentral:rRNA from 1 species
CUCCUACGGGAGGCAGCAGUGGGGGAUAUUGCACAACGGGGGGAACCCUGAUGCAGCGACGCCGCGUGGGUGAAGAAGCGCCUCGGCGCGUAAAGCCCUGUCAGCAGGGAAGAAAAUGACGGUACCUGAAGAAGAAGCCCCGGCUAACUACGUGCCAGCAGCCGCGGUAAUACGUAGGGGGCAAGCGUUAUCCGGAUUUACUGGGUGUAAAGGGGGCGCAGACGGCGAUGCAAGCCAGGAGUGAAAGCCCGGGGCCCAACCCCGGGACUGCUCUUGGAACAGCGGGGCUGGGGCGCAGGGGGGGG